GACACUUAACAUGAGGGCACAGGUCCUUCUUUGCGCCUUGGUGCUGCUUGCAGCCUUCCAUGUCCUUGAUGCCAAAAAAAGUAAACGCAAGUCCGGCGGCGGAGGCUGUGGGAAAGGUCAACACCCGACUCGUCCUCAAGGCGGAAAUACCCACAAACCGCACGGACCCAACCGACGCCCUAAACCGGCGACAUGCGAGCCACCUCCCCCACCACCACCACAAGUGCUGACGAUAACCUCAGAGAAACCCCAACUGAUUGUCGACCCUCCAGGUGAGAUCUCAAAUACUGAUAUCUAUAACUAAGUAGGCCUAGUGGGGCUACUUUUGAAGUUGAGUUUGAGAUUUCCGGGAAAAUCUGAUUUGUACAUCUUGUCCAGGAGUGUAAAGCAACUUUUUAAAGUGUUAUAUAAGCUGUCGAAAGCUAAAAUUCCUAAACAUUUUAAAAAUGCUGAGUCUGCCUUCUUCCUAUGGGUGUUUUCAUAAAGCGGUAGACAAUGCUACCGUCUCUUUAUGCAGCUAUUCCCUCCCUACUAAAUAUUUUACCCAGAAUUCGAUGAAUAUUAAUUUAUUGCUUCACGCCACAAGAGUCUAACAAGGCCAUAAUUUCUUUACUUUCCCUAUCACUAUCAUAAUGUAACAAAUGUUCUUCAUUUCCCGAUACUUAUUCUUCUAUCCAAAAUAGUAGUGAUUGAGCUAAAUUUUUGUCUUGUCUUCCUUUUCUAACGUGUUCAACAAAAAUAUAAAACUACCUGUUCCACUCACUACUCCUUGCCUCUCAUUCAUUUUGAUCUAAAAUUGUUGUUCUUCUCAACGAGUGUUUCUUUUGGUUCCUCCACUAUAGUGAUCCAACCCCCACCUCCUUCUGUUUGUGGUGGACCAUUGGAUGUAAUCUUCCUGGUGGACAAAUCGGCAAGCAUCUCCAACCAAGCCUUCGUACAGGAAAAGAGAUUUGUUCGGGAUUUUUCAGAACAAUUCAAUGUCGGCCUUUCUCAGAUUCGUGUCAGCGUUGUACUCUUUGCUAUUAAUCCCCACAACGCUUUCUGCUUUGAUGAGUACACCGACAACGCAGCUUUGUCAAAGGCUAUCAUGGGCUUGCAAUGCAAACAGUGCAAGAGAGGAAAGACUGGAACUGGAGCUGCUUUGGAGUUUGCCAGAGAAAAGUCUUUCAAUAAGGAAUGUGGAGCUCGGUCAAACGUCAAGAAACUUGUUGUGGUCCUUACUGAUGGGAAAUCCA